UACGGGGGGGGCAAGCGUUGUUCGGAAUUACUGGGCGUAAAGGGUUCGUAGGUGGCUCGCUAAGUCAGACGUGAAAUCCCUCAGCUUAACUGGGGAACUGCGUCUGAGACUGGCAAGCUUGAGUGCAGGAGAGGAACGCGGAAUUCCAGGUGUAGCGGUGAAAUGCGUAGAUAUCUGGAGGAACACCGGUGGCGAAGGCGGCGUUCUGGACUGCAACUGACACUGAUGAACGAAAGCCAGGGGAGCAAACGGG
rnacentral:rRNA from 1 species